rnacentral:lncRNA from 1 species
UGUGCAGAGGAACCAAAGAUGGAUACCACAUGUGGCUUUGGGGAGGACUAGUGUAAAGUCUACCAAUGUCCAAGGCAUGGCCUUGGUAGAAAGAGGACCACUACUGCUACUCACUGACCAAGUAGUCCUCUGGAGUGGACCAGGAUCUUCUAGCCUUCAAAAACCCUUUAUAACCCCCAAACAGCACCUUCAUCCUGUCAUCCAGGCUCAAGGACCUGGGUAAUGAUGUGGGAGAGAACAUUCUCCAGUGCUGACGUGGGUUUCCCUGCGCCAGAGAACCAGAGAUGGGGUAAUUGAAGCUCAUGCUCCGAACAGUUAUAGCAAAGGAGAAACCACAGAGCUUGCAGGAAGAAGAGGCCAUGUGAGUAGAGAGUGAGAACUCGGCUGCCUAUGAGCCCAUACGAAGAAGCCUCAGGAUGAAAGCUACCUGACCAACACCUUGAUUUUGGACUCUUCUAGAACAUGGGAAAUAAAUUUUUGUUGUUUUAUAAGCUA